rnacentral:rRNA from 1 species
UACGAAGGGGGCUAGCGUUGCUCGGAAUCACUGGGCGUAAAGGGUGCGUAGGCGGGUCUUUAAGUCAGGGGUGAAAUCCUGGAGCUCAACUCCAGAACUGCCUUUGAUACUGAAGAUCUUGAGUUCGGAAGAGGUAAGUGGAACUGCGAGUGUAGAGGUGAAAUUCGUAGAUAUUCGCAAGAACACCAGUGGCGAAGGCGGCUUACUGGUCCGGUUCUGACGCUGAGGCGCGAAAGCGUGGGGAGCAAACAGG